AUCAGCAUUCUUCAAACCAAAAAAAAAAAAAAACAAACAGAAAAAAAAACAAAUAUAAUUCCUCUGAAAAUGGUGGCGGUUUCCAGUUAACCCGAUAAAAAAAUGAAACAUAACAAUUCGGUUAUGAAAUCAUAAAACCGACAACACCUUUGCCCGAAAAAAUUUUUUUUUUCAUUUUCCUCGACUAUUAUUAUUAUUAUUAUUUAAUCAUCGAGUCAAGAAGCUCGAACAGAAACAGACAAGAACAACAACAACAACAACAAAAAUGAACCACAGCCCUUCAUAAUGAUUUCAACAGCAACAACACUAAUAAUAAUAUAAUAAUAAUAAGUAAUGGAAAUGAUUAA